AUAGGCAUACGGCGUAAGUGUGUUAAAGCACUAUACUAAAUAAAGUUAAAUUCCAAUUAAGCUGUAAAAAGCCAUAAUUGUAACAAAAAUAUAUAACGAAAGUAACUUUACAACCGCUGAAACACGAUAGCUAGGACCCAAACUGGGAUUAGAUACCCCACUAUGCCUAGCCUUAAACACAAAUAGUUAUGCAAACAAAACUAUUCGCCAGAGUACUACCGGCAAUAGCUUAAAACUCAAAGGACUUGGCGGUGCUUUAUACCCUUCUAGAGGAGCCUGUUCUAUAAUCGAUAAACCCCGAUAAACCUCACCAUUCCUUGCUAAUACAGUCUAUAUACCGCCAUCUUCAGCGAACCCUAAAAAGGUACAAAAGUAAGCACAAUCAUAAUACAUAAAGACGUUAGGUCAAGGUGUAACCUAUGGAACGGAAAGAAAUGGGCUACAUUUUCUAAUCUAAGAAAAUCCAACACGAAAGUUAUUAUGAAAUUAAUAACCAAAGGAGGAUUUAGCAGUAAACUAAGAAUAGAGUGCUUAGUUGAACUAGGCCAUGAAGCACGCACACACCGCCCGUCACCCUCCUCAAGUAGGCACAGUACACUCAAAUUUAUUUGCACGUAUUAAUCAUAUGAGAGG
rnacentral:rRNA from 1 species